UGUUUAAUUUUUGAUUUGAGAGCCUUAUACUCCUCUUGAAGUAUUCUAGAAUUAAACUACUUCAAGUGUGUUCAAAAAGAAAGUUGAAAAAUGUGGAGGUCAAGGAAAUUAAUUUAUCCCAAUCUAGUUGAUGAUAGAUAUAGAUAGAUAGAUAGAUGAUGAUGAUAGAUAGAUAGAUUAGAUAGAUAGAUAGAUAGAUGAUAGAUAGAUAGAUAGAUAGAUAGAUAGAUAGAUAGAUAGAUAUACUAUUAUGUGUCCAGUAUGGUUUGGCUGAAUGCAGUUUUGUAUGUUAAUUUGCUUGCUAUAUUUUACCUUCUUCGUGUGUCUCCUCUUGAAA
rnacentral:lncRNA from 1 species